UGAGCCCGCGGCCUAUCAGCUCGUUGGUGGGGUAACGGCCCACCAAGGCGACGACGGGUAGCUGGUCUGAGAGGACGACCAGCCACACUGGGACUGAGACACGGCCCAGACUCCUACGGGAGGCAGCAGUGGGGAAUCUUGCGCCAAUGCGCGAAAGCGUGACGCAGCGACCCGCGUGGGGGAUGAAGGCCCUCGGGUUGUAAACCCCUUUCGGCAGGGACGAAGCGAGAGUGACGGUACCUGCAGAAGAAGUCCCGGCUAACUACGUGCCAGCAGCCGCGGUAACACGUAGGGGACGAGCGUUGUCCGGAUUCAUUGGGCGUAAAGAGCGCGCAGGCGGUUCGGUAAGUCGGUUAUGAAAUUCCGGGGCUCAACCCCGGGACUGCGUCCGAUACUGCCGGACUAGAGGUAGGUAGGGGAGAUCGGAAUUCCUGGUGUAGCGGUGGAAUGCGCAGAUAUCAGGAGGAACACCGGUGGCGAAGGCGGAUCUCUGGGCCUUACCUGACGCUCAGGCGCGAAGGCUAGGGGAGCGAACAGGAUUAGAUACCCUGGUAGUCCUAGCUGUAAACGUUGGGGCUGGGUGUGGGCGGAUAUCGACCCCGUCCGUGCCGAAGCUAACGCAUUAAGCACCCCGCCUGGGGAGUACGGCCGCAAGGCUAAAACUCAAGGAA
rnacentral:rRNA from 1 species